rnacentral:rRNA from 1 species
GACGAACGCUGGCGGCGUGCUUAACACAUGCAAGUCGAACGGAAAGGCCCUGCGUUUGUGGGGUGCUCGAGUGGCGAACGGGUGAGUAACACGUGAGUAACCUUCCCUUGACUUUGGGAUAACUUCAGGAAACUGGGGCUAAUACCGGAUAUGAGCUCCUGCUGCAUGGUGGUGGUUGGAAAGUUUCGGCGGUUGGGGAUGGACUCGCGGCUUAUCAGCUUGUUGGUGGGGUAGUGGCUUACCAAGGCUUUGACGGGUAGCCGGCCUGGGAGGGUGACCGGCCACAUUGGGACUGAGAUACGGACCAGACUCCUACGGGAGGCAGCAGUGGGGAACAUUGCACAAUGGGCGGAAGCCUGAUGCAGCAACGCCGCGUGCGGGAUACCGGCCUUCGGGUUGUAAACCGCUUUCGCAUGUGACGAAGCGUGAGUGACGGUAAUGGGUAAAGAAGCACCGGCUAACUACGUG